rnacentral:lncRNA from 1 species
UGGGUCUUAGCACAACACACUGAGUACAUAUAUAAAUUUUCAAAGAAUAAAAGACAUACUCUGAAAUGUGUAAUAUUGAUGACAUUGUUGCAGUGUUAUGGUCUGCUGAGAGCUCUAGGCUGAGGGGCUGACCUCUCAUAUGUUUUAUUAAAUAUAUGAUAUAUAUUACAUAUCAAAUAUUUUUAAUUCAUUUUCAGUCUGAAGAUCUCUAACUUGAAAGCACAAGGGAGCUGUCCCAAAGCUUUUAAUGAGAGCAUCAUUGCAGCUGCAGAGGGAUACUGGCCGGUGACCCUCAGUGACAGGAAGACUAUCUUAGUGAGGGCUCGUGAUGGCAUCUGGGUGACUGCCAAGAGAGUUUGGGGGUGAGCUUUGCCCUGGGUUGGGUACCAUGGAGAUGUUGGGGUAAUGAAGUGGUACUUUAAUAAAUCUAGUACUGUAGUGGAAUCAGACAGAGCAGGAUGGAGACCAGAGCUGUAACCCACAUGGAAACAGUGAUUCCUCUUCUCGGACACAGUCUGGAGAAAUCAAGCCAGGUCAUUGCCCAGUCAUGGCUAUGUUGGGUUUUGUAUAGACAGUGGCAGAGAGGCCUUGUUUCUGUCCAGCUCAUCAGUUACAAGGCAUCUCUGCUGAUGGUGUCUUGUGAGGUCUUUAUGUCCCACCCAGGUCCAACCUGUUGUUGUGAGCCUCAGAUUGUCUUGCAGGGACACCUAAGGCUGGCAGUCUUCUGGGUUCAGCUCCCAGAAGUCAGUCGGUUUUGCUGUUUCUCUGCUGACAACAACAGCAAUUCAAGUGGUUCUUUUCCCCUUUGAAGAGUGGAUGGGGGCGUGGCUCAUCAUGACACCAGAGAGAAAGUGGGAGAAUCUGAGGAGCAGGACAUUGAAAUCAAUACAUGGGCUCCUGAGCCCAGGCCCUGAGCCUCAAACAAGCAGGUAUUUACUUACUCCUGACCAGUCUUGCAUAAGCUUUGUGGUCUUUUAUGGCCUGAUGUUCAAGGUCACCAUGACACCUGCUCUACUGGUCUGAGCAGUCAUAAGGCUCCAGUGUGGGGAAGGACAAGAGGUUGAAACACCUUGAUUGGAAGAUUGUCAAAGAACACACACACACACACACACACACACACACACACACACACACACACAGUACUGCAGGUAAUAUGCACAUGUAGAAAUCACGUUUCUGAUUUAGGCAGUCAUGUGACUAGGUUCUGCAGAUAAUUUUAUUUAUUUGUGUAUUAUGUUAUGUCUAUGGGUAUUUUGUCAGAUUGUAUGUCUGUGUACUACGUAUGUCUGGUGGAGGCCUAAAGAGGGUAGGACAGUGGAUUCCUGCAACCACAGUUACAGAUGGUUGGGAACUGCCUGAUGUGAUCUGGGAAUCGAACUCUAGUCCUCCAGAAGGGCAUCCAGCGAUCCAUUGAUGCAACUACAGAGUCAUCUCUGCAGAUGCUUUACAAGGAGAAACACCUGGGAAGAAGAUAGGAAAACUGCUUGCUGGAGCUGACUAGGGCAGACGCUGCGUCCUGUGCACAGCACUUUCCCUUUGAUCUAAGGUAUGGUGUGAUGGCCAGAGCCCAGCAGCUUGGGCCAUGAGGAGAGCCAUGGAUUUAAACCACAUGGAUUUAAAAAGACUGUAGAGGUUUGGGGAUCUUCUGAUGGAAGAGCUGACCUGCCAACCAUUGCCCACUUCACCUAAGAGUUGGACGGAUUUUUACCUUGUCUAAACCACUCUCAGGUGCCUUGGAUGCCCCUGCAGUGGACACAUCGCUCCUUGAACUCCGUUUCGUCCGUGACUCAUCUCAGUUCUGCCAGUUGCUGCCCUUCAUGACUCCUGGCCUUGUCCUGGGCAGAAAGGGCUGUCUUCUUGUUUUAAGGCUCUGUUGCUGUCAUGUCCAAGUUCUUAUAUCUGGGCCUGGUGCUGGGAGUGAGGUCUGAUCAGACAAUGAGAUGUGCACGUGAGGAGGGAAGUGGGUGUCUGCAGCUCAUGGGUGGUGCGUACAGUUCCACGUGAGCAGAGAACUGUGGGAGCCCACAUGCACCCUUGAUGAGGUCCAGAUCAAGCAGAGGGUGGUGUGUGGUGGCUGCCUAGGCUGAGGCUGCCUGUGUUGGAGGCUUUCCUUACCACGGAGCCCAUCACUGGGACAAGAUGCAGAGUGUUUGCUUUUGCGACUAAGACUGAAGUUCUUGAAUGUGCCCAGAUAAACAGUAUCAUUUAUUUAUUUGAGUGGAAGCCAGUCUUUUCUUAGAAGCACAGAAUAUUCAUGAUGUGUCAGGGAAGGCCCUAGAAAGUGCAAUGCCUAUGUCACAGGGAAAGCCACAUGCAGUUUAACUGCCCCCGAAUUCCUCUACAAAAUCAUAUUUUCUUCCCAGAAUGGCUUUCUUUCCCUUUUAAGUGUGUGUGAACAUGUCUGCUCCUUCCUCACAUGCCUGACUUCAUGGAGAGACACACUUUAAGUGCAAGAACAAACUGAACACACCUGCAGCCAUCACAAAGGUUGGGAAGCCAGCGUUCCCAGGACCCUGGACACUGCGCUGAGCCUCCUCCAAGUGAAGAUGCGCCUUCCACUGUCUGACUACUACUACUUACUCAUUAUCUUCUGUUGCUUCUCAGAGGCUACUUACAAUGUGCUUUCUGAAUUCCAGCUCUGGUCACAGCCCUUAGGCCCAGGGACACAGAUGUAAGGGUGUUAGAUAAUCUUUUACCUUUCUUUGGGACUUAUUCUCAAACUGUGUUUCCAUGGAACCCUGAGAUCAUUUCCCAAUCAGCAGGAAAAAGAACAGAUUCCUGGACUGGCUUCUGUGUUGAGAGCCUUUGAGGUCCAUUUCUGAGUUUCAGUAGUGACAAUGAGCAAGAAGCAGGGGAUGAUGGGAAAACACAGUAGUACCCUAGGUCACCCUUGACACAGUGGUCACCAAUUGCACAGUCAUCGUAUGGGUUCUAAUCCACUGCUCUCUCAACCCACUCUAUUCCUAAAGUCUAGACACAAUGGCUUCCAGACUCUGGAUGGGAAGUGGUAGGUGUUGGCCACUCAGGAAGGGUCUGGGACAGCCAGGAGACACUCUGGUCCCACACCCCGACCCUCACCCCUUUCCAGACCAGAAUCAACACCUGAACUCUCUUCCAGGGCAGGAAGCAUAGUACAGCAGCAGAAUACUUGUCUGGCAUGUGCCUGUGUGUCCUGAAACCAUGGCAGGACAGUCAGGAAGCCAGAAACCUGAGCACACAGGUCAGUGUCAAUAAGACAAAAAGACCACCAACAGAUUGGGAAAGGAUCUUUACCUAUCCUAAAUCAGAUAGGGGACUAAUAUCCAA